rnacentral:misc_RNA from 1 species
CGGAAGGAUCAUUACCGAAGUGAGGGUCCCUCGUGGGCCCAUCCUCCCACCCGUGUCUCUAGCUACCGUGUUGCUUCGGCGGGCCCACUGGGCCACCGUGUCCGGUCACCCCGGAGGAUGCUCCCUCCGGGCCCGUGCCCGCCGGAGAACCCACAAACUCUGUCUGAACCAGUUUGUCUGAGUGCAGAUUGUAAUCGUCAAAACUUUCAACAACGGAUCUCUUGGUUCCGGCAUCGAUGAAGAACGCAGCGAAAUGCGAUAAGUAAUGUGAAUUGCAGAAUUCCGUGAAUCAUCGAAUCUUUGAACGCACAUUGCGCCCUCUGGCAUUCCGGGGGGCAUGCCUGUCCGAGCGUCAUUUCUGCCCCUCAAGCGCGGCUUGUGUGUUGGGCGUUGUCCCCCUCGCUUCCCGGCGGGGGGACAUGCCCGAAAGGCAGCGGCGGCGUCGCGUCCGGUCCUCGAGCGUAUGGGGCUCUGUCACUCGCUCUGGAGACCCGGCCGGUGCCCGCCACCCACCCAUAUCUUUCUAGGUUGACCUCGGAUCAGGUAGGGAUACCCGCUGAACUU